GACGAACGCUGGCGGCGUGCCUAAUACAUGCAAGUCGAACGCAGUGGGGACGGGUGAGUAACACGUGGGUAACCUCCCAUCAGAGGGGAUAACACUUGGAAACAGGUGCUAAACCGCUACUGAUGGAUGGACCCGCUGUGCAUUAGCUAGGUGGUGAGGUAACGGCUCACCAAGGCCACGAUGCAUAGCCGACCUGAUCGGGUGAUGGGCCACACGGGGACUUAGAACCGGCCCAGACUCCUACGCGAGGCAGCAGUAGGGAAUCUUUGGCAAUGGACGAAAGUCUGACCGAGCAACGCCGCGUGAGUGAAGAAGUUUUUCGGAUCGUAAAACUCUGGUGUUAGAGAAGCGGUAUCUAACCAGAAAGCCACGGCUAACUACGUGCCAGCAGCCGCGGUAAUUC
rnacentral:rRNA from 1 species